CUACGGGCGGCUCCAGUCGGGGAUAUUGCACAAUGGAGGAAACUCUGAUGCAGCGACGCCGCGUGAACGAAGAAGGCCUUCGGGUCGUAAAGUUCUGAUGUGAGAGAAGAAGAUAGUGACGGUAUCUCACCAGCAAGCACCGGCUAACUACGUGCCAGCAGCCGCGGUAAUACGUAGGGUGCAAGCGGUUGUCCGGAAUUACUGGGCGUAAAGGGAGCGUAGGUGGUUAUAUAAGUCUUUAGUAAAAGGCAUUGGCUCAACCAAUGUAGGCUAGAGAAACUAUAUAACUUGAGUACAGUAGAGGUAAGUGGAAUUCCUAGGGUAGCGGUGAAAUGCGUAGAUAUUAGGAGGAACCCCAGUGGCGAAGGCGACUUACUGGGCUGUAACUGACCCUGAGGCUCGAAAGCGCGGGGAGCAAACAGGAUUAGAUACCCUUGUAGUC
rnacentral:rRNA from 1 species